CCUACGGGUGGCAGCAGUGAGGAAUAUUGGUCAAUGGACGAGAGUCUGAACCAGCCAAGUAGCGUGAAGGAUGACUGCCCUAUGGGUUGUAAACUUCUUUUAUAUGGGAAUAAAAUGUUCCACGUGUGGGAUUUUGUAUGUACCAUAUGAAUAAGGAUCGGCUAACUCCGUGCCAGCAGCCGCGGUAAUACGGAGGAUCCGGGCGUUAUCCGGAUUUAUUGGGUUUAAAGGGAGCGUAGGUGGAUUGUUAAGUCAGUUGUGAAAGUUUGCGGCUCAACCGUAAAAUUGCAGUUGAAACUGGCAGUCUUGAGUACAGUAGAGGUGGGCGGAAUUCGUGGUGUAGCGGUGAAAUGCUUAGAUAUCACGAAGAACUCCGAUUGCGAAGGCAGUUCACUGGACUGCAACUGACACUGAGGCUCGAAGGUGUGGGUAUCAAACAGGAUUAGAUACCCGUGUAGUC
rnacentral:rRNA from 1 species